rnacentral:rRNA from 1 species
UACAGAGGGGGCAAGCGUUGUUCGGAAUUACUGGGCGUAAAGGGCGCGUAGGCGGCCUGUUAAGUCGAACGUGAAAUCCCCCGGGCUCAACCCGGGAACUGCGUCUGAUACUGGGAGGCUUGAGUAUGGGAGAGGGAUGUAGAAUUCCAGGUGUAGCGGUGAAAUGCGUAGAUAUCUGGAGGAAUACCGGUGGCGAAGGCGGCAUCCUGGACCAUAACUGACGCUGAGGCGCGAAAGCUAGGGGAGCAAACGGG